AUGGGCGAGGGCGGAGGCAAAAUCAGAAGAUCCCCGCAGAUCGAUGAGAUGGGAUGGCCUGCUGGGGGUGGUGCCAUCCGGUGCACCGCUGCGAGACAUCUCAACCUGGCCGCCGGCGUCGAUUCGGGAUUGAGCUCGACUCGUGCUCAUCCUGAAUUGGAAGGCGAUGGUUGCGAGGUUCACCUUCAGAGCGCAGAGGAGGAGAUCGAAUUUGUUCGGAGGCGAGAUUUGAAGAGAACAAGGCCAACAAUGACUGCGAAUUCUGGUGAGCUGAAUGAAAUUUGGAGAAGGGAAGAGAUCAAGGCCAGACAGAGGUCCAGAGAGAAAGAGAUUUUAGAGGGUGAAUAUAACACUGGGUAUUUCAAAGCAGUGGCGAAUCAGAAGAGGAGGAAGAAGCAAAUUGAUAUGCUAGAAACCCCUUCAGGUCCCAUGGAGGACACCCAAGGCUAUUUGGAGGAGAACAACAUCAAAUAUGUCUACAUGGGGGUGCCUCUCCUCAGGAGGUGCCAGAGGCAAACUGGAGUGGGUUGUGGAAAAGCUGGAGACAAAAGCGAGAAGCCCUCCUCUGUUGCUAUGGCCAGAUCCUGGCUGAGGCGGGGAUACUCCUUUUAG
rnacentral:rRNA from 1 species